GUAAUAUUAUAUAAGAUAUAGACGUUCUUCCAAGUAGGCUCCUGAGCCGGCAUGCUAACGCCAUGCUUUUGGUAUAAGCUGAGAUGAUCUUCAGUGUUUUCAGCGAAUUUCGGAUUUUUCGAUUUCGGCUCAUUUUUAGUUCGCCCUUUUCUAGAUUGAUGGAUAGUUUCGAUGUCAUAAUCAUGAGUUUAAUGCGAUGUGGCUUUGUCAAUUACUUUGCCAAGAAUGGCUUUUGCUAUCUCAACUCGGCGCCGUUUUUGCAAAACUAUACCAUCUAACAUUUUCAAUUAAGUGCCGAUGCCCAACUAGUUCAUAUCCUCGUAAGAAUAAAUGCUCCUCUACGAUCAUACUCGUAAUGCGAUCUGUACUGUCAACAAUUGACCAUCUUAAGAAAGUAAUUGCCCCGAAACCGCCAGCUGUACCCAAUAGGAGCGAAAUUGUGUUUCACUAGGACAACGYCAGGCCACACAUAUACAUAAUGACUCAGUAGAAGCUACGAGAGCCUGGUUGGGAAGUUCUUAUGCAACUACUUUAUACUCCAGAUCUGGCACCAAACAUUGAGCCCUUUUACUAACGGCUUAAAGAAUCUCUGUGUAAACUUUGAGCUAAAUCGGAGAGGCUACCUAAUCGGAAGUAUGUAUUGCCCCAAGAAGUAACCGAAUGUAUAGUAUUAGUGUCACGUUAAUGAUUUCAAUUUUAAUCCAAAAAAAGAAUCUGUUAAUCGAAUGAAAAUAAGAACUUUUUAACUUGGAAACAACUAAUUUGAAAUGUUAGCUAAGU